CGCGGAGUAGAGCAGUUGGUAGCUCGUCGGGCUCAUAACCCGGAGGUCGCAGGUUCAAGUCCUGUCUCCGCAACCA
rnacentral:tRNA from 12 species